rnacentral:rRNA from 1 species
AUGGAGGACGAAGUACCUGAUUCGCAGAGGAAGGGGACGAAGGAUAGUACGGAAGAUCUCUUGGCUCGUCUAAACCUACAGGAAGAAGAGGAUGAUGGCUUCGUUUGGGAGGAGGAGCUCCCUGAUCUGAUGGCUGCAGCUAAGUGGCUAGCGAUUGCUAGGGUUCAUACCCCAAAAACCUUUAGUCUGAGUGCGCUCUAUGGGGACAUGCGAGCAGCAUGGAAUCCAGCAAAAACUGUGAGUUGGAGGAGGACCAAUGAGAACCUCUUCACCGCGCAGUUCGGGUGCUUAGCAGAUUGG